UACGGAGGAGGCAAGCGUUAUCCGGAAUUAUUGGGCGUAAAGCGUCCGUAGAUGGUUUUGUCAGUCUGCUGUCAAAGCACAGGGCUUAACCCUGUAAAGGCAGUGGAAACUACAAGACUAGAGUGCAGUAGGGGCAGAGGGAAUUCCCAGUGUAGCGGUGAAAUGCGUAGAGAUUGGGAAGAACACCCGUGGCGAAAGCGCUCUGCUGGACUGCAACUGACAUUGAGGGACGAAAGCUAAGGGAGCGAAUGGG
rnacentral:rRNA from 1 species